UACGGGGGGGGCGAGCGUUGUUCGGAAUUACUGGGCGUAAAGGGCGCGUAGGCGGCCUUCUUAGUCGAACGUGAAAUCCCUCGGCUUAACCGGGGAACUGCGUCCGAUACUGGGAGGCUCGAAUCCGGGAGAGGGAUGCGGAAUUCCAGGUGUAGCGGUGAAAUGCGUAGAUAUCUGGAGGAACACCGGUGGCGAAGGCGGCAUCCUGGACCGGUAUUGACGCUGAUGCGCGAAAGCCAGGGGAG
rnacentral:rRNA from 1 species